rnacentral:rRNA from 1 species
GGCUUAGAGUUUGAUCAUGGCUCAGGAUGAACGCUGGCGGCGUGCUUAAUACAUGCAAGUCGAACGAGGCACCUCUCCCGUUGAUUGACCCAGCUUGCUGGAGAUUGAAACACCUGAGGUGACUGAGUGGCGGACGGGUGAGUAACGCGUGGGUAACCUGCCUUGUACAGGGGGAUAACAGUUGGAAACGACUGCUAAUACCGCAUAAGCGCACAGUACCGCAUGGUACAGUGUGAAAAACUCCGGUGGUACGAGAUGGACCCGCGUCUGAUUAGCUUGUUGGUGGGGUAACGGCCUACCAAGGCAACGAUCAGUAGCCGACUUGAGAGAGUGAUCGGCCACAUUGGGACUGAGACACGGCCCAAACUCCUACGGGAGGCAGCAGUAGGGAAUAUUGCACAAUGGGGGAAACCCUGAUGCAGCGACGCCGCGUGAAGGAAGAAGUGUUUCGGUAUGUAAACUUCUAUCAGCAAGGAAGAAAAUGACGGUACUUGACUAAGAAGCCCCGGCUAAAUACGUGCCAGCAGCCGCGGUAAUACGUAUGGGGCAAGCGUUAUCCGGAAUUACUGGGUGUAAAGGGAGCGUAGGCGGUACGGCAAGUCAGAAGUGAAAGCCUGGGGCUCAACCCCGGAAUUGCUUUUGAAACUGUCGGACUAGAGUGUCGGAGGGGUAAGCG